AGAUUGAACGCUGGCGGCAUGCUUUACACAUGCAAGUCGAACGGUAACAGGCCGCAAGGUGCUGACGAGUGGCGAACGGGUGAGUAAUGUAUCGGAACGUGCCCAGUCGUGGGGGAUAACGCAGCGAAAGCUGCGCUAAUACCGCAUACGAUCUAUGGAUGAAAGCGGGGGACCGUAAGGCCUCGCGCGAUUGGAGCGGCCGAUAUCAGAUUAGGUAGUUGGUGGGGUAAAGGCUCACCAAGCCAACGAUCUGUAGCUGGUCUGAGAGGACGACCAGCCACACUGGGACUGAGACACGGCCCAGACUCCUACGGGAGGCAGCAGUGGGAAUUUUGGACAAGUGAGCGCAAGCCUGAUCCAGCAAUGCCGCGUGCAGGAAGGAGGCCUUCGGUUGUAACUGACUUUGUACGACGAAACGGUCCUAGGUUAAUACCGUGGGUACUAAGUGACGGUAACCGUAAGAAGUAAGACUACCGGACUAACGUACGU
rnacentral:rRNA from 1 species